CCUAAUUUUAAGAUGGCAUGUGAAAAGUCAGUUAAAGUCCCUAUUUUUUUUUCCAUUUUCUUCCAUUAUUGCCCCUCUCCCCUAACAAACCGGCCUCCAACUCAUUGUCAUUCUCGAAUAUUAAUCACCAUGGUUGAAUGCGACCUUUCAGUACUCGUCAGUUCCCAACUCCCCUAUAACCUAAUGUUCGUUUCAGGUUCCAUCAAUGGAGAUGAAUCUCAUCUCCCUCUAGCCUGUUUUUCGACUCUUACCUCAAUCGACGCGAUCUUGUGAGAUGGAUAGAUUGUUAAAAAAAUCUAGGGUUCAAUGUCAGAACCGCAAGGUGAAAAUGAAGAUUAGAGUUGAUUUGAGAUCCACCCACGAAGAUUCAGAAACAGAAUGGAUACGUUGAAUAAAAAUCUUCCUUUCUAUAGAUACGAGAGACUACAGGAAUUUAAGAAAAUAGCUCAGAGGGUUGAACAUGAGACUUUUACUGCUACCACAUGCCAGGUUUGAUGUGUUUUUUAUGUUAUAUAGGCAGUUUUGUAGUUUUUUAAAUAUAUUCAACACAUCGAUCUGGGUAAAGAAUCAACAGCAAAGCUAAUGGCCUCUUCAUCCUGUCCUGCGAUUACAUUUGGUCCAUUUGCUUCAGCACCAAUGUUAUGAGUCCAGUUGCGGAGGUAGCCUAAAAAUUCACAGAUAAGUUUUGCUACAAUUGCAUCCUUCAAUGGGUGAAAUUUGUUCCGGGUACACAUUCCCCUCAAUAAUCCUUGGUAAAGUGUCCCCUUUGUAAGGUUUGUCAUACUUCACUUUCUUGCAUUUUUGCACCAGUUAGUUGAUGAUAGUGAAAGUCGUUAUGAACUUGUGAUUAAUGCUGUUGUGUUCCGUUUCUUUUUGAAUGAUGGUUUCUUAAGUUAUUUCAGAUUGGAAUGUUCUUGGUGAAUUAAUUUUGUGAUGAUGGUUAUCACGCAGAGAAAAAGUUCAUCUGAUAUAUGUGAGUAUGAUGAAAGUUCUUUUCAACAUGUUAUUAAUCUGAACUUGGAGACUAGGUAAGUUAAGUUUAUAACUUUAUAUAUACUAUAUAACAUGGCACUAGAAGCUCCCCAUCGAAGCUCUCGGGUUUACCCGAUGCUACAUGUUCUUUGAACGUAAAAAGAAACGGUACAUGCUCACACCCAGUCACUACAGCGUAAUCGAUCCUGUCUUUUUCUUCUAACUUGAUAGUGCCAUCUUGAGAUACUUCCAUUGGGCCCUCAAUUUCGUCAACACUGUAGGUUCAAGGGGUCAUCAAUUCAUUUUUAUUUUAUGGAUCAUAUUUAUCAAGUUAACUUAUUCAAGCCUAACUGCCAGGGAACUAAUGGGUUAGGUGAUUAUAAUUAACAUUUUUAGUUCGAACGCAUGAAAUAAUAAGAAAAUGAUAUAUGUCUAAUUAAGUUGAAGUGAUUAGAUGUAAUUGGUUUUGAGUGGUUGACAGCCUUGAAUGGUAUAUUGGUAGGUUUUACAUGUACAUGAAGUUGGUUGAGUUGUUUAUUGUAUGCAGUAAGGAUCAUGUAUUAUAAAGAUAGUGGCAGGUCAAGAGGUUUCGGGUUUGUAAAUUUCUCAAGCGAAGAUAAAGCACGUUCAGCUAAAGAUGCCAUGAAUGGGAAGGAAGACCAUUAAAGGUCAGCUUUGCACUGGACAAAAUCGGCCACUCUAACAGGGGAACUACUUUCAGUCGUAGCCGCUGACACAAUAUGUUUUGUCAUAUUAGACUAUAACAACUAUAAUUUCAAAGUGAUUAUAUAAAAAAAGACUUUUAAGACUUUUGCGAGAUGGUAAAUGGAAUGGGGAAGAUAUUAUUCCAGCUAAUGCUCGUUUGCUUAAUGGCGAACCCUUAAAGAUUGUCUAGUCGGCUCCAACUGGUAAGUCCAUUCCGGUCACAAAAGGUUCCGGGGAUGGUGUGUAUUCUGGUUUGACUUGCAAAAGGUUUGAGGCGGUUGUUAUCGGUACUGAGGUCUACAUGCUCUUUGGGAAAGCUGCUCAUCUUGUUGAUAGCACAAAUCAAGUUGGUCAUUUUCAGAAAAAUCGACCACCAGAGUUGCUACUUGGAACAACUCAUUGUGGAUUUGGUGUGGGCUUAUGGAGUGCAAGAUGUAUCCUUGGAGAAUUAUAUGCUGGCAUGCCUAUCAUGCUUGGUUGGACUAAGGUUGAGCAACUGCAUAGAAUUUAAGCUUUGUGGUUCAUCGUAACUGAUAGUUACUGGAUAAAGUCAAAAUUACUUCACUCAACAGCGUACAAGCCCGUCCAGCCUUAUAAAGACGCAUUUUAGAAAUCUUUAAAGGUUUUCCUUGAGCUGCUAUUGGGCUUAUGCAAACUUUACUUGCAAUAGAUCAUGAAGAAAGAGGAACUACAACACUUGUUUUGAAGAGUGAGCAGUUCUUUACAACAAAGCCACUUGCUUGUGAUCCUUCAAGUUUGCUAGAAUAUCCUCCCAACAAAGAAAUUGUUGCGAAAAGGAGAGAAGAAGAAGCCAAAAGUUAUGUGCAUUUAUCUAACAUUUAAAAAAAAUCAAGCAUGUACUUAGACGUAACUAUUUGAUUACUUAACUUCAGAUUUGGUUAAUUGACUUGAAUGAUAUUGUAGACAAAGGAUAGCAAGAAUGACUGGUCAAAAGCUGUAUAAGGAAAGCGGGGAAGCACAAGAAGCCGGUGCCAGCUCGGGAUGCCAGUGCUGAGUUUGCAAGAUCAACUUAGGAUGCCAACGACGACGAUGAUGACAUGAUGAUAUUGAUGACGACAACAAAGCCGAUGGUUAUGAAUCAUGAUGGUCACCUUUUUGAUGCUCAACAAUUCCAAUAUCCGAGUUUCUAUUUUUAACCAAUGAAUUAAAAACAAUUCUUAAUACUCAUAUUUAUCCAAACGCAGUAUUCACUAUCUACAACA